rnacentral:ncRNA from 1 species
UCAGCCUCGAUAAUCCGCAGCGCUUUAAUCGUUCGGCAGACAAGGGAACACGGUGCAAUUCCGUGACGGGCCCGCCGCUGUAACCGGGGACGCCGCUUCGCAAGGUUCAUGACCAGCCACUGGGGAAGACCACUCCCCCGGGAAGGCGCGAGGCGAGCGGAUGAUCCGGAAGCCAGAAAACCUGCUGCCGAGGGUUCCUUUCAA